rfam:Aedes albopictus isolate Foshan contig149644, whole genome shotgun sequence.
UGUUCUGUAGCUUAGUUGGUUAAAGCGCCGGACUAGCGAUCACGACUCCGUUCGUGGGUUCGAAUCCCACCAAAACAA